rnacentral:rRNA from 1 species
UACGGAGGGUGCAAGCGUUAAUCGGAAUUACUGGGCGUAAAGGGUGCGUAGGUGGUUUGAUAAGUUAUCUGUGAAAGACCUGGGCUCAACCUGGGAAGGUCAGAUAAAACUGUUAGACUAGAGUAUGGGAGAGGGUAGUGGAAUUUCCGGUGUAGCGGUGAAAUGCGUAGAGAUCGGAAGGAACACCAGUGGCGAAGGCGGCUACCUGGCCUAAUACUGACACUGAGGCACGAAAGCGUGGGGAGCAAAC